CAAAUAUCAAUACUUUCCUUCUAAUCAAAACUCUCCGUAUACAACUCUCCACAUCCGCCAAUCUCACCCACCGGCAUUCUAAGGAGUUUUCUUUUCGGUCGUCGCGAUUUUAUGGCCGCGGCAUUUGGGUGUCUCUCUGAUUUGGUGUGUGGAUUUGUUGGUGGUGUGCCAGGACGGCUGGGGAUUUGGAUGCCGGCGAUGUUGUUCACGGAGGGCCUGGACCGGGAAGCGCUCAAGUUGGUGCGGAAGGUGAGUGGGCGGGCAUCGGCGGCCUCAUGACACCUCCGGAGAAGUUCAGGAGCGGCCACGUGCCGCGCGCGCCGCAUACGGGAGCGCCUCCACAGCCUCCGACGUGGACAAGUCCUCGAACGCCGAGGAGGUCGAGCUCUGCAGCUGCGGCAGUUACUCCGUCGUAGGUCUCGCCCCACCGCCGCACGGCCGUGCCCCGUACCGGUACGGCAACAUGCCCACCGCUGCCACAGAUCCCCACGGGCGAGGCAGACGCCGCCAACCAGUGCAGAGCGUGGUCGCGUUCCCCGCGCGGCUAUACGGACGAUCGCUUAGCCUGAGGUCGCCUUUCAUGGCUGCCACCGGCGUCGGCGGGAACGACUCUCCGGUAGCACCAGAGGACUCCACAGUGUAUCGUCUAGGCUGGGAAAGGUCAAGAGGGUAACCAAGGAGUCAAAUGUACAUGUCAAGAUCAACCUCGACGGCCACUGGUGUUGCAAACUGCAGUACAGGGAUACCGUUCUUGGAUCACAUGCUUGAUUGUAACCGAGGUCUAUGGACCUGUAAAAGGGUCUUGCUGCAUAUGGUUAUGGCUGCAUUGCAUGGACGGAGCGAAUGGAGCGCUGAAAGAAGAAUCUUAGGAGAUGGUGCACAAUAUGAGGAAUGACAGUAAAGGCUUGAACUAUGAUGAAGGUGAUGCCCGAUUUGACCAUUAGUAUAUUCUCAUCAAGGCAACCUGUAACUUCUGCUAUGACAUGGAUUUUCCAUUGUGAGGGGCGUCUCUCAUGAAGAAUGUGAUUUCUGGAUGAUACAACAUGUUGUUAGAACAUGAAUAUUCUAUGCAAGGACUGACAUUUAAGAAGGAUGUAGUAACAGGUAAACCUUGAUAGAAUAUUUUAACUUUUCAUGAGGAUAUUUUCAUUCAGCACAUAUGUAUGUUGAGUUGUUCUUGUGUUUAGAAGUAAGAGGUGUAGCAUGCCAGACGUCCUUGCAGGAGUAGUCGAGCGGUGGAUCUCCCUAGCGAUUUGGAUGUAUAGAGUUUAUGAUACAAAGACCUUUUUUUGUACUGAUUAUUGAAUUUUCUGCUUUAUAUUUCUGAACUCUUUUGUUAUGUUGUUUACUCGGGAUUCCAAAUUUGCAAGGUUUCUUGUUCUUCCAGGAUUUCAAAGAGUAUGGACCACUGUAUGGCCGAAGGAGAUGCCAUUCUAGACUGUCGUUGACCAUGGUGUGUUGCUGCUAUUUUUCUGGCUGGUAAUCUGUGCACUGCCGAGACCUUAGUCUGACUAGUGUAGGGCGUGCCCUCUGAUCAACUGUUCGCAAUCGUUGAAAUAUUUUUUCCAUGCCCGUUUUGUCGCUCAAAUUUCUGAUUUAUCUAGGUAGGGGUUUUGAUGAAUUUACUCUUCUCCAUUGUGCAUUCUGAGGGCAGAAUUUCAUGGUAGUUCUCCAAAGCUGCUUGGCAAGAAAAAGGUUAUCUGGUGAUUGCUCUUCUCAACGGACCAUGUUAGGGGGGUAGAGAUAUAUUCAUACCUACAAAAUUUUAACGUUAGGGGUAGCUCUUAUCCCUUCCCAUGGAUCGCUGCAAAUUUUGAAAAACAUGGAUGUUCUUGUUAUAUCAUAUACUCCAUCCAAAUUAUAAUGUGUUCAUUUACGCGGCCGUGACUUGUUACAUGUUCAAUGCAAAUGGUUUAUUUUGCAGUUGUAAACUUGGCAUGAUCUUUUCUUGCCUCUUCUCCAUAGUGAUUUGCUACAAGUAAAUUUAUUUCACUGGUAGUAUUUAUGUCAUCAUUGCAACUCAUGGGCAAUUAACUACAUUUUGUAUCCCAACAACAAACAUUAAA